rnacentral:rRNA from 1 species
AUUGAACGCUGGCGGCAUGCCUUACACAUGCAAGUCGAACGGCAGCACGGGAGCUUGCUCCUGGUGGCAAGUGGCGAACGGGUGAGUAAUACAUCGGAACGUACCCUGAAGUGGGGGAUAACGUAGCGAAAGUUACGCUAAUACCGCAUAUUCUGUGAGCAGGAAAGAGGGGGAUCGCAAGACCUCUUGCUUUAGGAGCGGCCGAUGUCGGAUUAGCUAGUUGGUGAGGUAAAGGCUCACCAAGGCGACGAUCCGUAGCGGGUCUGAGAGGAUGAUCCGCCACACUGGGACUGAGACACGGCCCAGACUCCUACGGGAGGCAGCAGUGGGGAAUUUUGGACAAUGGGCGCAAGCCUGAUCCAGCCAUGCCGCGUGAGUGAAGAAGGCCUC